UGGGGAAUAUUGGACAAUGGGCGAAAGCCUGAUCCAGCCAUGCCGCGUGUGUGAAGAAGGUCUUCGGAUUGUAAAGCACUUUAAGGUGGGAGGAAGGGCAGUAAGCGAAUACCUUGCUGUUUUGACGUUACCGACAGAAUAAGCACCGGCUAACUCUGUGCCAGCAGCCGCGGUAAUACAGAGGGUGCAAGCGUUAAUCGGAAUUACUGGGCGUAAAGCGCGCGUAGGUGGUUCGUUAAGUUGAAUGUGAAAGCCCCGGGCUCAACCUGGGAACUGCAUCCAAAACUGGCGAGCUAGAGUAGGGCAGAGGGUGGUGGAAUUUCCUGUGUAGCGGUGAAAUGCGUAGAUAUAGGAAGGAACACCAGUGGCGAAGGCGACCACCUGGGCUCAUACUGACACUGAGGUGCGAAAGCGUGGGGAGCAAACAGG
rnacentral:rRNA from 1 species